CAAGCCCUACGGGGCGCAGCAGUGGGGAAUAUUGGGCAAUGGGCGCAAGCCUGACCCAGCAACGCCGCGUGAAGGAAGAAGGCCCUCGGGUUGUAAACUUCUUUUAUCAAGGACGAAACAAAUGACGGUACUUGAUGAAUAAGCCACGGCUAACUACGUGCCAGCAGCCGCGGUAAUACGUAGGUGGCAAGCGUUAUCCGGAUUUACUGGGUGUAAAGGGCGUGUAGGCGGGACUGCAAGUCAGAUUUGAAAACCAUGGGCUCAACCCAUGGCCUGCAUUUUAAACUGUUUUUCUUGAGUACUGU
rnacentral:rRNA from 1 species